UACGUACUGUGCAAACGUUAUUCGGAAUCACUGGGCUUAAAGGGUGCGUAGGCGGCUGUCUAAGCAGGGUGUGAAAGCCCCCGGCUCAACCGGGGAAUUGCGUUCUGAACUGGACGGCUGGAGUGGGAUAGGGGUGUGUGGAACUUCCGGUGGAGCGGUGAAAUGUGUUGAUAUCGGAAGGAACGCCGGUGGCGAAAGCGACACACUGGGUCUCAACUGACGCUGAGGCACGAAAGCCAGGGGAGCGAACGGG
rnacentral:rRNA from 1 species